AUGAAAAGUAUCGAAAGAAGUGGAAGCUGUGAAUGGAAAAGAAAGAUGAAAAAGAAGAAGGAGAAGGGAGUGUUGUUAGAAGGCUUCGUCAGUGAAGAUCUUCCAAGGACGAAAAGCUUAACCGACAAGGAUCUUGACGAGUUGAAAGGAUGUUUAGAUCUAGGAUUCGGAUUCAGUUACGAUGAGAUUCCAGAACUAUGCAACACUCUCCCAGCAUUGGAGUUAUGCUAUUCAAUGUCGGAUUCUUCUCCGUCGUUUGCGAAUUGGAAGAUCUCGAGUCCAGGUACUAAUGAAUAG